rnacentral:rRNA from 1 species
UACGGAGGAUCCGAGCGUUAUCCGGAUUUAUUGGGUUUAAAGGGUGCGUAGGCGGCCUGUUAAGUCAGGGGUGAAAGACGGUAGCUCAACUAUCGCAGUGCCCUUGAUACUGAUGGGCUUGAAUGUACUAGAGGUAGGCGGAAUGUGACAAGUAGCGGUGAAAUGCAUAGAUAUGUCACAGAACACCAAUUGCGAAGGCAGCUUACUACACAAUUAUUGACGCUGAGGCACGAAAGCGUGGGGAUCAAACAGG